rnacentral:rRNA from 1 species
AUUGAACGCUGGCGGCAUGCUUUACACAUGCAAGUCGAACGGUAACAGGUUAAGCUGACGAGUGGCGAACGGGUGAGUAAUGCAUCGGAACGUGCCCGAUCGUGGGGGGUAACGCAGCGAAAGCUGCGCUAAUACCGCAUACGAUCUGAGGAUGAAAGCGGGGGACCGUAAGGCCUCGCGCGAUCGGAGCGGCCGAUGUCAGAUUAGGUAGUUGGUGGGGUAAAGGCCCACCAAGCCGACGAUCUGUAGCUGGUCUGAGAGGACGACCAGCCACACUGGGACUGAGACACGGCCCAGACUCCUACGGGAGGCAGCAGUGGGGAAUUUUGGACAAUGGGCGAAAGCCUGAUCCAGCAAUGCCGCGUGCAGGAAGAAGGCCUUCGGGUUGUAAACUGCUUUUGUACGGAGCGAAAAGGUCCUUUCUAAUACAAGGGGCUCAUGACGGUACCGUAAGAAUAAGCACCGGCUAACUACGUGCCAGCAGCCGCCGUAAAAC